AUUGAACGCUGGCGGAAUGCUUUACACAUGCAAGUCGAACGGCAGCACGGGGGCAACCCUGGUGGCGAGUGGCGAACGGGUGAGUAAUACAUCGGAACGUGCCCAGUCGUGGGGGAUAACGUAGCGAAAGUUACGCUAAUACCGCAUAUUCUCUGAGGAGGAAAGCAGGGGACCUUCGGGCCUUGCGCUAAUAGAGCGGCUGAUGUCGGAUUAGCUGGUUGGUGAGGUAAAGGCUCACCAAGGCGCCGAUCCGUAGCGGGUCUGAGAGGAUGGUCCGCCACACUGGGACUGAGACACGGCCCAGACGCCUACGGGCGGCAGCAGUGGGGAAUUUUGGACAAUGGGAGCAACCCUGAUCCAGCCAUGCCGCGUGAGUGAAGAAGGCCUUCGGGUUGUAAAGCUCUUUCGGCCGGGAAGAAAUCGCACAGGCUAAUAUCCUGUGUGGAUGACGGUACCGGAAUAAGAAGCACCGGCUAACUACGUGCCAGCAGCCGCAGUAA
rnacentral:rRNA from 1 species